ACGGUCCUAAGGUAGCGAAAUUCCUUGUCAGGUAAGUUCUGACCCGCACGAAUGGUGUAAUGAUCUGGGCACUGUCUCGACAACCUACCCGGCGAAAUUGUAGUACCGGUGAAGAUGCCGGUUACCCGCGACUAGACGGAAAGACCCCAUGGAGCUUUACUGUAGCUUAAUAUUGAAUUCUGGCAAAUCAUGCACAGGAUAGGUGGGAGACUAUGAAGUAUGCCUUUCGGGGUAUAUGGAGUCGACGUUGGGAUACCACUCUUGGUUUGCUAGGGUUCUAACCUGCGGCCGUAAGCCGGUCGGGGGACAGUGUUAGGUGGGCAGUUUGACUGGGGCGGUCGCCUCCCAAAGAGUAACGGAGGCGCUCAAAGGUUGGCUCAGCAUGGACGGAAACCAUGCCACUGAGUGUAAACGCAAAAGCCAGCCUGACUGCGAGAAUGACGGUUCGAGCAGAAACGAAAGUUGGAGUUAGUGAUCCGGCGGUAUGUGAGUGGAAAUGCCGUCGCUUAACGGAUAAAAGCUACCCUGGGGAUAACAGGCUGAUCUCCCCCAAGAGUUCACAUCGACGGGGAGGUUUGGCACCUCGAUGUCGGCUCGUCGCAUCCUGGGGCUGAAGUCGGUCCCAAGGGUUGGGCUGUUCGCCCAUUAAAGCGGCACGCGAGCUGGGUUCAGAACGUCGUGAGACAGUUCGGUCCCUAUCCGUCGUGGGCGCAGGAAAAUUGAGGAGAGCUAUCCUUAGUACGAGAGGACCGGGAUGGACCUACCUCUGGUGUAUCUGUUGUCAUGCCAGUGGCAGCGCAGAGUAGCUAUGUAGGGAAGGGAUAAACGCUGAAAGCAUCUAAGCGUGAAGCCCCCUCCAAGAUGAGUUUUCCCAUUGUUUUAAACAAGUAAAAUCCCAAUAAGACUAAUUGGUUGAUAGGCUAGAAGUGGAAGUGUAGCGAUACAUUGAGCGGACUAGUACUAAUAGAUUGAGGUUUUAACCAU
rnacentral:rRNA from 1 species